GACGAACGCUGGCGGCGUGCUUAACACAUGCAAGUCGGACGAUGAAGCCGGAGCUUGCUCUGGUGAAUUAGUGGCGAACGGGUGAGUAACACGUGAGUAACCUGCCCUUGACUCUGGGAUAACUGCGGGAAACUGUAGCUAAUACCGGAUACGACUCUCGGAGGCAUCUCCUGGGGGUGGAAAGAAUUUCGGUCAAGGAUGGACUCGCGGCCUAUCAGCUAGUUGGUGAGGUAAAGGCUCACCAAGGCGACGACGGGUAGCCGGCCUGAGAGGGUGACCGGCCACACUGUGACUGAGACACGGCCCAGACUCCUACGGGAGGCAGCAGUGGGGAAUAUUGCACAAUGGGCGCAAGCCUGAUGCAGCAACGCCGCGUGAGGGAUGACGGCCUUCGGGUUGUAAACCUCUUUUAGCAGGGAAGAAGCGAAAGUGACGGUACCUGCAGAAAAAGCACCGGCUAACUACGUGCCAGCCGCCGCCGUAA
rnacentral:rRNA from 1 species